rnacentral:rRNA from 1 species
UACGUAGGGUGCAAGCGUUAAUCGGAAUUACUGGGCGUAAAGCGUGCGCAGGCGGUUUUGUAAGUCUGUCGUGAAAUCCCCGGGCUCAACCUGGGAAUUGCGAUGGAGACUGCAAGGCUAGAAUCUGGCAGAGGGGGGUAGAAUUCCACGUGUAGCGGUGAAAUGCGUAGAGAUGUGGAGGAACACCGAUAGCGAAGGCAGCCUCCUGGGCCAAUACUGACGCUCAUGCACGAAAGCGUGGGGAGCAAACAGG